CAGUGCUGGUGCUGUCUGUGCAGACUCACAGGGCAUGUCCUGCAGGAGCGCCUCUGAGCUCCCCUCUGCUUCCAGGGGGAGUUCAGCUGUGCUGCUGCAGGGCUCUGCCCAUCUGCU
ensembl:miRNA gga-mir-6546 gga-mir-6546